GCAGCCGCCGCGGGAAUACGUAGGUGGCAAGCGUUGUCCGGAAUUAUUGGGCGUAAAGCGCGCGCAGGCGGCCUAUCCAGUCUGUCUUAAAAGUUCGGGGCUCAACCCCGUGAUGGGAUGGAAACUAGUAGGCUAGAGUAUCGGAGAGGAAAGCGGAAUUCCUAGUGUAGCGGUGAAAUGCGUAGAUAUUAGGAAGAACACCAGUGGCGAAGGCGGCUUUCUGGACGAAAACUGACGCUGAGGCGCGAAAGCCAGGGGAGCGAACGGGAUUAGAUACCCCUGUAGUCCCUGUCUCUUAUACA
rnacentral:rRNA from 1 species